GUGAAUCAUCAAAUCUUUGAACGCAAAUGGCACUCUCUGCGAAGAGUAGGCCUGUUUGAGGGUCAGAAUUAAUAAAAAUCGGUGUGUUGCUUCUUUGUGACGCUCCGGAGUUUGGGUCAUCUUAAUAGCCUUUAGGUUUUAAGAGUCUUAAAAUUUACUUUUUUUGCGCAUUUUAGAUGUACAUAUAUUUUUUUUUUUAUUCGUAGGUCUUAAUGCUCAAAAUCCUAUUAGAUGCGAC
rnacentral:misc_RNA from 1 species